UACGUAGGGCGCGAGCGUUAAUCGGAAUUACUGGGCGUAAAGCGUGCGCAGGCGGUAAUGUAAGACAGCUGUGAAAUCCCCCGGGCUCAACCUUUGAAUGCCGCUGGAAACUGUCUGGCUAGAGUCCGGGAGGGGCGAGUGGAAUUCCUGGUGUAGCGGUGAAAUGCGUAGAGAUGUGGAGGAACACCAAUGGCGAAGGCAGCCUUCUGGGCCAACACUGACGCUCAUGCACGAAAGCGUGGGGAGCAAACAGG
rnacentral:rRNA from 1 species